rnacentral:rRNA from 1 species
GCAGCCGCGGUAAUACGGAGGAUGCGAGCGUUAUCCGGAUUUAUUGGGUUUAAAGGGUGCGUAGGUGGCUUUUUAAGUCAGUGGUGAAAGUUUGUGGCUCAACCAUAAAAUUGCCAUUGAAACUGGAGAGCUUGAGUGUGUUUGAGGUAGGCGGAAUGCGUGGUGUAGCGGUGAAAUGCAUAGAUAUCACGCAGAACUCCGAUUGCGAAGGCAGCUUACUAAGCCAUAACUGACACUGAAGCACGAAAGCGUGGGGAUCAAACAGGAUUAGAUACCCC